GUGGGCAGCCGGACGUACCCUGGCAGGGAGCAGCAGGUGGCGGCGGUGCAUGGGGCCUGGCCCCACCAGCGGGCACUGGCCCACAGCCACGGCCGGGGGGCCAUCUAGCUGGAGAGAGAAGGGACAGGUGUCUAUACACGCCCCGCGGAGCAGACGGCCCACCUCCUCCCGGUCCUCCGGGGAAGGGGACACAUGAGGGACUCACCUGUGGCUCCCUCUGCCUGCAGCAACUCCAUCCGCUCCUGCAACUGCCGGACGUGUGCCUCUAGGUCCCGGUUCCGAGCCUCUGCCUCGCGUAGUUGACUGUGGGGAGGAACAAAUCAGGAUUCCCACCUGCCCAAGGCCUUUGCCCUGGAGGCUCUCGCCUGACCACUUGGCACCUUUCCUUCCAUGGCUUGUUUCUCCUUCACCAGCGCUCAGCUCAAAGAUCGACUUCUCAGAUCCCCAGCAACACACACACCCUUACUUAAUGCCCCACUGUAACUACAGAGACCGUCCCAUGUCUGAAGUAA
rnacentral:lncRNA from 1 species